rnacentral:rRNA from 1 species
CGUCAAAGCUUAUUUUUUACCACAAACAAUACCAUUAAUCCCUUAGAACCCCUAAAUAGUACUAAAUAAUUCUAUACACCUAUAGAACUUACUAUGCUAGAACUAGUAACAAGAAUAAACCUUCUCUUCUAUGUGAGUGUAAAUCAGAACAGAAAACCUGCUGAUCAUUAACAACCUUAAACUAUAGUACUAACACACUUAGAAAAAUUUACUCCCUAAACUGUUAACCUUACACAAGAACAUAAAAAGAAAGAUUACAAGAGAAAGAAGGAACUCGGCAAAUUAUGAUUUCGCCUGUUUACCAAAAACAUCGCCUCCUGCUAAUAUAUAGGAGGUCCAGCCUGCCCAGUGACCUAGUUUAACGGCCGCGGUAUCCUAACCGUGCGAAGGUAGCGUAAUCACCUGUUUUUUAAUUGAAGACCUGUAUGAAAGGCAUCACGAGAAUCGCACUGUCUCCUUCCUCUAAUCAGUGAAACUAAUCUUCCCGUGAAAAAGCGGGAAUACUUAUACAAGACGAGAAGACCCUUUGGAGCUUAAGAUAAAGUAACAUUUAUGCAAUUUCCCUCAAACCUAUUUUAUUGAGCAUCAAUGUUCCAAGUCUUCGGUUGGGGCAACCGCGGAGUAUAAACCACCCUCCAAGCUGAACGGAACUUUCCUAAACAAAAAGACACAACUUUAUGUAUCAAUAAAUUGACACCCAUGACCCAAUAUUUUGAUUAUCGAACCAAGUUACCCUAGGGAUAACAGCGCAAUCCACUUCAAGAGUUCAUAUCGACAAGUGGGCUUACGACCUCG